rnacentral:rRNA from 1 species
UGCAGAAUCCCGUGAACCAUCGAGUCUUUGAACGCAAGUUGCGCCCGAAGCCGCCAGACCGAGGGCACGCCUGCCUGGGCGUCA